ACGCCGCGUGAGGGAUGACGGCCUUCGGGUUGUAAACCUCUUUUAGCAGGGAAGAAGCGAAAGUGACGGUACCUGCAGAAAAAGCGCCGGCUAACUACGUGCCAGCAGCCGCGGUAAUACGUAGGGCGCAAGCGUUAUCCGGAAUUAUUGGGCGUAAAGAGCUCGUAGGCGGUCUGUCGCGUCUGCUGUGAAAACCCGAGGCUCAACCUCGGGCCUGCAGUGGGUACGGGCAGACUAGAGUGCGGUAGGGGAGAUUGGAAUUCCUGGUGUAGCGGUGGAAUGCGCAGAUAUCAGGAGGAACACCGAUGGCGAAGGCAGAUCUCUGGGCCGUAACUGACGCUGAGGAGCGAAAGGGUGGGGAGCAAACAGGCUUAGAUACCCUGGUAGUCCACCCCGUAAACGUUGGGAACU
rnacentral:rRNA from 1 species